GACCUAAAGAGCCCUCUCGCCCGCCUGCCCGCUGGCCCUGGGGAGGCUCGGGCCGCGCGGGUCCCCGAGAGUGCGGCCCGCUGUGAGGCUGCAGCGCUCUGUGUGGGAGGCGGGCUCCCGGCGCGUGGGGCCUGGGGCGCCACAGGCCGGCUUCAACGCGGGAGCGGCGCUGCGGAAGUGAGAGGAGACGCGUGUCGGGGCUCCGGGAGCGCGGGGCAGGAGCAGACCGGGAGGUGCGGUGUAGCCCGGGCCGUUUCGGCGGCCCCUGGAAGGGGUGGGUGGCGCCACCCGCCGCCCGCGUGGACGCCUGCGGGGUGUUCGCGAGCCUCUGAGCUCUGUGGAGCAGAGCCACAGCGUACCUCACAGCUCUCAGCCCCGUGUUGACCUCGAGCUGCAAGAGGUGAGUCCGGCCCCAGAAUGGGGGGGCGCGAUCCGAAGGAGCCAGAGCAGCCAGGGAAGCUGUUUAUUGGUGGUCUGAGCUUUGCCACUACGGAUGAUAGGUUAAGGGAGCCG
rnacentral:lncRNA from 1 species